UGUGCCCACAUCCACUCCUGCACACACAAGACCCGUGCCAGUGCACAUGCGUGCUCCUGCCUGCCACACGUCCACACACUGCUGAUGUAUCGGUGCACACGCGUGCUCCUGCCUGCCCGCACCUCCACUCUGCUGUAUCGGUGCACGCGUGCUGCUGCCUGCCACACAUCCACACUCUGCUGCUGAUGUAUCGGUGCACGUGUGCUCCUGCCUGCCACACAUCCACACACUGCUGAUGCGUCCUUGCUCACGUGCAUGUGUGUGCACUUGUUCACGCCCCAUGUCGGCACCCGUGGGUGUGGACACAGACUCACGUGCUCAUGUGGUCACAGGCACACCCUUGCUUGCAGACAGAGCACCCUGGAGGGCUAGGGUACAGGGUGCAGGCAGCGUGCCCUGCAUCUCCCACCGUGCAACCCCCUGGAAAAGCUCCUGGGUCCUGCUGGCAGGCCCCCAGGGCCUGCAGGCUGCCAGCUCCCUCUGGAGGCCUCGGCUGUGAGGCUUUGUGACGGGGCCAGCAUGGAAGCACUGCUGGCUCCUGCCUACCGGCUCUGCCUGUCCUGCCUGCCCACCGUGGUCCUGGGCCCGUGCCCAGCUCCUCACCGAGUGCUUUGUGUGGUUUCCAGGUGGCAUGUCUGUGACCCAGUGCUCCAAGGAGGACGGCAGAAGCAGCUCAGGACCCCCCCAUGAGACGGCCGCCCCCAAGCGCACCUAUGACAUGAUGGAGGGCCGCGUGGGCAGAGCCAUCUCCUCAGCCAGCAUCGAAGGUCUCAUGGGCCGUGCCAUCCCGCCGGAGCGACACAGCCCCCACCACCUCAAAGAGCAGCACCACAUCCGCGGGUCCAUCACACAAGGUACUGCCCUGUUCCCUGCUCCCUCGUUGCCCCCAACGGGUGUACAGUCACGCAGGGCGCGGGAGGGAGAGACACAGCCAGAGUGUGGUGGGAACUCAGGACAAGUAUGCAGAAAGGCCUGCAGCACACAUGUACAUGAUCAGUACGUGAGCUACGGAGCAAGGGUGUCUCUUACUUAUUUCAAAACAAAAACAAAAAGCAAAAUACCACCGAUCACCCCUGUGCUUUUAGGUGUCACAUAGCAACUGUCCUGUGCUUGGCACUAACCCAGGUGCCACCUGCGUAUCGUUUUACAGAACAUCCUGGUGAGGCACAUGCGAUUGGGAGAGGCUUGGAGAGCUCCGAGAACUCUUUCAGGUUCUCGCGGCUGGUCCAUGGCACAGCCAGCUACUGUGAACUUGGCAGCUUUGUGGGUUUUAUUUU
rnacentral:lncRNA from 1 species